GACAGCAGCAGCCACGGGAAUACGGAGGGUGCAAGCGUUAAUCGGAAUUACUGGGCGUAAAGCGCACGCAGGCGGUUUGUUAAGUCAGAUGUGAAAUCCCCGAGCUUAACUUGGGAACUGCAUUUGAAACUGGCAAGCUAGAGUCUUGUAGAGGGGGGUAGAAUUCCAGGUGUAGCGGUGAAAUGCGUAGAGAUCUGGAGGAAUACCGGUGGCGAAGGCGGCCCCCUGGACAAAGACUGACGCUCAGGUGCGAAAGCGUGGGGAGCAAACAGGAUUAGAUACCCGUGUAGUCCCUGUCUCUUAUAA
rnacentral:rRNA from 1 species